rnacentral:misc_RNA from 1 species
ACGAGUUUGAAAGGGAGUUGUCGCUGGCCUUUUCGGAGGCAUGUGCACGCUCCUGCUCGCUCCAUAUACACCUGUGCACUCCUCGUAGUGACGAUAAGACUUCAUGGUUGAGUCGUUGCUAUGUUUUUAUACACACCGUAUGUCUAUGAAUGUCUUCAUUGCUUAUAACGCAAUUAAAUA